CCUGGCUUAGAACGAACGCUGGCGGCGUGCUUAACACAUGCAAGUCGAACGCGAAAGGGACUUCGGGUCCUGAGUAAAGUGGCGCACGGGUGAGUAACGCGUAGAUAACCUGUCUUCAUGUCUGGAAUAAUACGCCGAAAGGGGUACUAAUACCGGAUAUUCUUGCUUUUCAUAAGUUAUGCAAGCAAAGGUGGCCUCUGCAUAUGCUACUGCAUGAAGAGGGGUCUGCGUACCAUAGCUAGUAGGUGGGGUAAUGGCCUACCUAGGCGACGAUGGUUAGCGGGUCUGAGAGGAUGAUCCGCCACACUGGCACUGGAACACGGGCCAGACUCCUACGGGAGGCAGCAGUGAGGAAUAUUGCGCAAUGGGGGAAACCCUGACGCAGCGACGCCGCGUGAGUGAAGGAAGGCCUUCGGGUCGUAAAGCUCUGUCAAGAGGAAAGAAGUGUACAAUGGCUAAUACCCGUUGUAUUUGACGGUACCUCUAAAGGAAGCACCGGCUAACUCCGUGCCAGCAGCUGC
rnacentral:rRNA from 1 species